rnacentral:miRNA from 1 species
UCCAAUGGAUUUAGUUAUAUAAAAAAAAUGGAUCCGAUGGAUCCAAUGGAUUUUAGUUAUAUAACUAAAAUCCAUUGGAUCCAUCAGAUCCAUCGGAUCCAUUUUUUUUAUAUAACUAAAAUCCAUUGGAUC